rnacentral:rRNA from 1 species
GGGGUGUGAGAGCAUGGCCCCCCACAAUGGGACUGAGACACGGCCCAUACUCCUACGGGAGGCAGCAGCGGGGAAUAUUGCGCAAUGGACGGAAGUCAGACGCAGCGACGCCGCGUGGGUGAGGAAGGCCUUCGGGUUGUAAAGCCCUUUUCAGGGGAGCGAGAAAGGACGGUACCCUUGGAAUAAGCGUCGGCUAACUACGUGCCAGCAGCCGCGGUAAGACGUAGGACGCAAGCGUUAUCCGGAUAUACUGGGCGUAAAGCGCCUGUAGGCGGUCAAGUAAGUCGGAUGUGAAAGCCCCGUGCUCAACGCGGGGAAGCCAUUCGAUACUGCGUGACUAGAGAACGGCAGAGGGAAACGGAAUUUCUGGUGUAGCGGUAAAAUGCGCAGAGAUCAGAAAGAACACCGAUGGCGAAGGCAGUUUCCUAGGCCGCAUCUGACGCUGAGAGGCGAAAGCUAGGGGAGCAAACAGGAUUAGAGACCCUGGUAGUCCUAGCUGUAAACGAUGGAUGCUAGGUGUGGGCCGGAAAGGUCCGUGCCGUAGUUAACGCGAUAAGCAUCCCGCCUGGGGAGUACGGCCGCAAGGCUAAAACUCAAACGAAUUGACGGGGACCCGCACAAGCAGCGGAGCGUGUGGUUUAAUUCGAUGCUACACGCAGAACCUUACCUGGGCUUGACAUGUAGGUGGUAGUGAAGUGAAAGCGGAGCGACCCUUCGGGGAGCCUACACAGGUGCUGCAUGGCUGUCGUCAGCUCGUGCCGUGAGGUGUCGGGUUAAGUCCCGUAACGAGCGCAACCCUUGUCCUUAGUUACAAGUGUCUAAGGAGACUGCCGGUGACAAACCGGAGGAAGGUGGGGAUGACGUCAAGUCAGCAUGGCCCUUAUGUCCAGGGCGACACACACGCUACAAUGGUCGGUACAAUGGGCAGCGCAGCCGCGAGGUGAAGCGAAUCCUAACAAAGCCGAUCCCAGUUCGGAUUGCAGGCUGCAACCCGCCUGCAUGAAGCCGGAGUUGCUAGUAACCGCGCGUCAGCCAUAGUGCGGUGAUACGUUCCCGGGUCUUGUACACACCGCCCGUCACGUCAUGGGAGUUGUAACGCCUGAAGCCGGUAGUCUGACCUAACGGAGGACGCCGUCGAAGGCGG